rnacentral:tRNA from 1 species
GGCUUGUGGCUCAGUGGUAGAGCACUCGCCCAGCACGGCGAGGCCCUGGGUUCAAUCCUCAGCAUCA